rnacentral:rRNA from 1 species
UUCUUUUAGAAUUUAUUUAUUUAAAGUAUAACCUGCCCAUUGAAAAUUUUAAAAGGCUGCGGUAUUUUGACCGUACAAAGGUAGCAUAAUCAUUAGUUUUUUAAUUGAGAACUUGUAUGAAUGGUUGAAUGAGAAAUAAACUUUUUUAAUAUAAAAAAUGAAUUUUACAUUUUAGUUAAAAGGCUAAAAUAUAUUUAAAAGACGAGAAGACCCUAUAGAGUUUUAUAAUUAUUAAGUUAUUCUAUUAAAAAAUUAAAAAAAAUUAUAAUUAAUUUAAUUAUUUUAUUGGGGUGAUAAUAAAAUUUAAUAAACUUUUAUUUCUUUUUACAUUAAUUUAUGAAUAUUUGAUCCAUUAUUAAUGAUUAAAAAAUUAAAUUACCUUAGGGAUAACAGCGUAAUUUUUUUUUUAAGUUCAUAUUUAUAAAAAAUUUUGCGACCUCGAUGUUGGAUUAAGAUUUAAUUUUAGGUGCAGAAGUUUAAAAUUGAAGUCUGUUCGACUUUUAAAUUCUU